UCUAAUUCUUUGACAAUUUAUACCUUUCUGCACUCGUUGUAUAAAAAUAUAUAAUCAACGUGUCGUUUCCGGUGAUCUCAGAAGAUAAUUGGAUGAAUUUAAGGGUCAUAACCUUUAUCCACUAAUGGAAUGUAUCAAAAUAUGCUAACAGGUGUUAAUGAAAUUGAGAACUUUGUGAAAUGUGGUAGGCACUCGAAGGGGAUUUUCGUUU
rnacentral:lncRNA from 1 species